rnacentral:tRNA from 1 species
UCCGCGAUAGCUCAACGGUAGAGCAGGCGGCUGUUAACCGCAAGGUUCCAGGUUCGAAUCCUGGUCGCGGAGCCA